AACGCUAGCUACAGGCUUAACACAUGCAAGUCGAGGGGCAGCAUGAUUGAAGCUUGCUUCAAUUGAUGGCGACCGGCGCACGGGUGAGUAACGCGUAUCCAACCUUCCGUACACUCAGGAAUAGCCUUUCGAAAGAAAGAUUAAUACCCGAUGGUAUAAAGAGUUCGCAUGUUCUCUUUAUUAAAGAAUUUCGGUAAGCGAUGGGGAUGCGUUCCAUUAGAUAGUUGGCGGGGUAACGGCCCACCAAGUCUACGAUGGAUAGGGGUUCUGAGAGGAAGGUCCCCCACAUUGGAACUGAGACACGGUCCAAACUCCUACGGGAGGCAGCAGUGAGGAAUAUUGGUCAAUGGACGAGAGUCUGAACCAGCCAAGUAGCGUGAAGGAUGACUGCCCUAUGGGUUGUAAACUUCUUUUAUAAGGGAAUAAAGUGAGGGACGUGUCCCUUUUUGUAUGUACCUUAUGAAUAAGGAUCGGCUAACUCCGUGCCAGCAGCCGCGGUAAUACGGAGGAUCCAAGCGUUAUCCGGAUUUAUUGGGUUUAAAGGGAGCGUAGGUUGACAUAUAAGUCAGCUGUGAAAGUUUACGGCUCAACCGUGAAAUUGCAGUUGGUACUGUAUGUCUUGAGUGUACAAGAGGUGGGCGGAAUUCGUGGUGUAGCGGUGAAAUGCUUAGAUAUCACGAAGAACUCCGAUUG
rnacentral:rRNA from 1 species